UGACCUCAUUGAAAGCUUUGGAAGACAUGGAGAAUUUCAGAUCUUCUAUUUCCUAGAGUAUCAAACGAGUUAUGGGGCCCUGUGUGUGGGGAGAGGGGGGAGGCUUGUGUAUUGCAUAACUCAUCAGGUCCUACCAAGGAAGCUUCCCUGACUGUGAAACUGUUUCACAUCCUCCUCCUCCUCCUCCUCCUCCUCCUCCUCCUCCUCCUCCUCCUCCUCCUCCUCCUCCUCCUCCUUCCUCCUCCUCCUCUUCUUCUUCUUCCUCUUCCUCUUCCUCUUCCUCUUCUUAAGAUAUUUUCUUCAUUUAUAUUUCAAAUGCUUUUUACCCCCUUUCCUAGUUUCCUCUCCGAAAAUACCCUAUACCCUCCCCACUCCCCCUGCUCCCCAACCUAUCCACUCCUGCUUCCUGGCCCUGGUAUUCCCUUAUACUGGAGCAUAGAAUCUUCGCAAGACCAAGGGCCUCUCCUCCCAUUGAUGGCAGACUAGGCCAUCCUCUGCUACAUAUACAGCUAGAGAUAUGAGCUCUGGGGGUACUGGUUAGUUCAUAUUGUUGUUCCUCCUAUAGGGUUACAGACCCCUUUAGCUCCUUGGGUACUUUCUCUAGCUCCUUCAUUGGGGACCCUGUGUUCCAUCCAAUAGAUGACUAUGAGCAUCCACUUUUGUAUUUGGCAGGUACUGGCAUAGCCUCACAGGUGACAGCUAUAUCAGGGUCCUGUCAACAUGUUUCUUAUUGCUUAUCCUCAGAUACUGUUGCUGUUGGUCUCUGUAUCAAUUCCAUAGUCCCACUCACUCAUUGCUGAGUAGGUUAACCCAGGGGAUAGGAGGCCAAAGUAGGAAUAUGGGUAAAAGACAACUUGGUUCCUUCUAUUCUCCUUAUUUGCAGCUUUUCCAUUGAUCCUUCUACCUUGCUCAGGGGCAGCUGCUUCCUGAGGCCACUAACAUCUUGACUGCCCUUUUUGUUUCCCCUUUGACGUUUUAGAGACCCCAAUCUCUUUCUAACUAGUGCCCCUGAUUGAUUGUUCUUUAUCCUGCAUGGAAUCUGUAUGUGUAUCUUAGAAGGUUACAACUGUAAGGACGAAAUUUAUAUUAUAAGGCAGCAGGGUUUUUUUUCAGUUGUCAGUUGCAAUUCAUUUAUGAGUCAAAAAAUUAAUAUAAAGAGUCCAAACCUCCAUUUAUAAUACUAAAUAGUGUUGAGUUGAAUACCAAAUAUUAUUAUGCAUCAUGUGCCACAUAAGUUUGCAAACUUACAGUUGUCUAUAUACAUAUAUGUGUUGUGUGCCUGUUCAUGGUGCAGCUGAUGUCUAAUUAUAUAAUUGAAAUUCAAUGAUCUAGGGUUUCUGGCACAUAAUAAGCACUCAAUAAUUCCUAGUAACUAUCAUUACUGUCCGAGACCGUGUCAUAUGAACACUAUCCAGUCAGACAGCACAAAGAGUUUACCAUUCCAACUCACUUGAACUCAUUAAAAUAGUUCCAUAUAGUUAUGUCAGGGUGUAUUCAAAUGGCCAAACCAUGGCCUUACAUUUGUUUGAUUAUACCUAGCCAGGCACAGCCUGAGUCACCCUCCUUGGCUGAGAAAAGAGGCAAGCAAGUCCAAGGAACUGAAGCAUUUUUAAACUUACAUUUUAUUUUCCUAUGAGUCAUAGCAAAUCUGUCCCUGCAGCAUCUUUUCCUGUGACUGAGUGCUCUAAGACAGACAGGUUUCUUCCCAAAUCUGGGGGUAUGCAGGAAGAGAGGAGAGAAAGCACCUCUCCCAUCAGCACAUGAAGGACAACUUCUGUCCCACCUCCUUUUCAAAAGCAUCAAAAGGCUCCCCAGGAGCCAUGACAUUGAUAACUAACAAAUAUUAUCAGCUUCCUAACACCUGCUGGUAGAAAGGAAGAACCAAAAUUGUGCGACUUCUCUCUUUUCCACAGCUACCGUACUUAUAAGUGGUGCUAUUAACCAUGUGAUAAUGGCCAUGAAGAGCAAAGGAUUGGACAAAAGAAUAUUUAACUUCUUUACCUUUUCAGGAAAAUAAACCCAAAUGAGUCCUUCCAUAUCCAGAGAACCAAUAAUCAGAGGGACAGCAGAAUGCCAAGAUUUAUAUGAAUCCCUUUGUUUGAUGUUUCCUGAAGACAUUAAAAUCUUCCCGGGGCUGACAGCAGGCACCCUAGGCUCCCACCUGCUGAUGUGACAGCAUCCUGGGCUCUCCCAUCUUGUGGCUGGUUUUCAGUGUCUGAUGUGACAAAUGUACACCUCUACUCUUACAACGGAUAAUGCUUGCCACUCACCACAGUGAAAUGGUGCAGAACCCACUAACAGUUACAUAGGAUUCCAUUGUCUGAUUCAUUGACUCCUCACAGUAGCCCUGUGGGGAUAGAGAGCUUCAAUGAUUAUCCUCAUUCUCUAGUUGAGCAGACAAAUCAAGAAGGCAAACACCUUGCUCAGAUUCACACGACCAGUUUGUCAAAGCAUCAGAAUCAGUCAAGGCCAUGGAGCCUGCUAUGUCAAAUUCAAUAUGGCCCUCUGUGUUGGGGCCAGGAACUGGAAGGUCUGUGUUUUGAGUUUCUCAUCACACAGUUUAUCUGGUCUGCUGAGAAAGCAAGUUAUCUCCAAUAUCUCCCUCUUAUCUAUAAUGUAAGGGAAUUUUCAGAGUCAUUUAGAAUUCUUUUAAUGUUCCUUUUCAUGAGUUUUGAAAAACGGUUGUCUUACUUAGGGUUUCUACUACUGUGAGGAAACACUAUGACCAUGGCAACUCUUAUAAAGACAAGCAUUCAGUUGGGUCUAGCUUACAGUUUAGUUCAUUAUCAGCACAGCUAGAAGCAUGGUAACACACACACACACACACACACACACACACACACACACACACAGCCUGACUUCAGGUUCUGGAACCCAAAAGCCCACCCUGAGUGACACAAUUUCUCCACACAGCCAUACUGACUCUAAGAAGACCACACCUCCUAAUCCCUGUGAGGUAGCACCAUUCCCUAAUGACCACACAUCCAAAUGGCCUAUGAUAGCCAUUCCUAUUCAAACCACCACAUCAGUGUCCAAAGAAAUAAUAUUGACUCAUCUAAUAUCUAUGACCUACAGUAUUUCAAACAUCAAUUACUACAUAUUCAGACUAUCUAAGAAGGGAUAAUUUGUCUACUGAUACAUACACAAGCUAAAGCUUACAACAGCUUGGAUCUGUGGUCAAGUAUCUAUCUCCUAAUUUUUGUCCCUUCUUCUGUCUUAAAAUUGCCUUUGUCCUUCAGUCUCUAGGGAAUGAGCCCCAGAUUUCUACAAUUCAGAGUCCAAGUAGACUGGUGAGAUGUAUGUGUUGUAACAAUACACUGAGGAGCUAUUUGGGGGAAAUGGCUUGGGGGAAGUCUCAGUGCUUACCAUGUUUUCAAUUAGAAGUGUGAGGCCAGAGAGAGCCACCCUCCUGGAUGGAGGUUCCUACUACCCCUUGAGCUGAUUAAAUGUCUUAUAACAAAAAGUAAAUCUGUACCCCAACUCAGGUGCUUGGACAACACGGAACUUUAUCAGGCCUGGGUAAUUGGUGAAAUUGGCUCACUAUCCUUCAACUGUCACUAUGUUCCCUAUAUGUCCACGUCAGAGAAAAUAUUACGUUUCCCUUCUAAUGGCUGACUCACAAAAUCGUCAACUCAACAUGUUAAAUGGAGAACUUACGUUAUUGUCCCUCUUCUGUCAACUUUGUAUUAAAAUGACAGUGGAGAGUAAGAAGGAAGGCAUGCUGUUUUAGCUGGGGAGUUGUCAUCAUUAAUAGAAUUCAUUCCCUACUUUGUACUGUUUGUUUCAUCUCCUAAUGAUGGGAUUGAAGCUGACUACUGUAGGCCUGGUACAACCAGUGAAAUCAGCCACCAGGAUGCCUCUGAGAGACAACAACAGUGAUCCAUGAUUAUCUCCUACUACUUUUAAGACCCAUCUGGAAAUGCAGCCCGCGCUGAUCUCAAACUUGGGAGCUGUUUGCCUCAAUUUCUCCUGUAUUGGCAUUACAGCCAUACACUGCAUCGUGCCUGCCUUCACAUGUGUUUUAUGAAUGAAUGAUUUUGCUCAUUCAAUAUGACAUUUUUUUUCAACUUUUUGUUGAUUCUUUGUGAAUUUUACCCCAAUCCCACUCAUCUCCCUGCCCUAACCUGUACAACUUUCCUCUCAAAAACCAACCAACCAACCAACCAACCAAACAAACAAACAAACAAACAUCUUGCCUUGGAAAGUCCAGUAUGUCUCAGUGUAUCACACAGUAAACCCUUUUGCCCAAAGAGCUCUUCUUGCAAAUGUUCAUUGCAGUGAGUCAUCGGUCUGGUUUAAGGCCUCUGGCUUCUGAUGUUCUAUCAGUAUUGGAUCCUCACAGGAACUCCUCUUGGAUAUGCGGUUGUUGCCCUGUGACUUGGAGAUCUCACGGCUUUGGCUCUGGAGGAACACCCUCUUCAUGCAGUCCAGUAGUUCUUAGAUGGGGUGGGCCAACUCAAAGUUCUAACACUGGACCUGAGUGGUAGCUGAGUUAGUUGUUCAGCCUGAUAGCUCUCCCAUACCUAUGCCUCCUGGGCCAGCUCUCUAGCACUGCCCAGGCGAGGGGCAGGGCCAGCUCUCCUGCUUCUAUGUCUUCAGGGACAGCUCACCCAUGCCUCUGUCACCGGGGCCAGCUCUACUAUGCUGCCCAGGAGUGCCAAGUGCUGCAGCCAGUAUGAGGGACAGUGAAAACUCUGCAUACCCUGCAGAUAUCAACAUGGCUGCAGGUGGCAGCCCAGACCAGGGAUAUCCAUAUGGCCUUAUGUGGUCACAUGGGCCAUAGACAUCAACACAGACCCCCAACUACGGCAGGACCAUGGAUCCACUCAUGGCCCUUGGUGGCAGCAUGGGUCAGAACCUCACUAUGACCUUAUAUGGCUUUGCAUGCUAUUCCCGUCCACCUACUCCUCACUACCCUGAGUCUCCAGUUCCAUCUUUCUUCACUGUGCACAUACCAUACUGCUUCUCUUUCUCUUCCAUCUCUUUACCACUUAACUUGCUCAUCUUAGAGGUUCCUGGGACCUCUGGGGGUCUUCUGUGUGACUUUAGGAGGGGGUUUUCUCAGGUGUGCUGCACCUUAUUUCUGCCCUCAAUAUGACACACUUAGCCCCAGUUGAGUUUUUGCUUCUUUACAUUUCCUGGGUUUGUUUCUACAGACUUUACCUUCAAGGCAUAUUUGAUUAAUUUCUCUGCUCUCAAAUAUAUAAAAUUCUCAAACAUGUCUUCUACAAUCAGAAAGAAGAAGCUGAAGGAAUGGCUCAGGGGGUAAGAUUGCUUGCUGUACAUGUAAGAGAGCAUGAGUUCAAAUCCCUAGUGUACACAUAGAAACCUAUGAAUAGAGAUAUGGAAAUACACAGACCCCAGAAAUUUGCUAGCUAGCAAGCUAAGCUGAAAUGGGAACCCGUGUUUAAAUAUAACACACACACAUAUACACACACAUGCUCACAAAGUCAGUUCAGAACUCACCCUACUUUUGUUAGCUUUCUCCUGCAUUUUGUUUUGUUUUGUUGUUUUUCUAUUUAUGUUUUUAAUCUAGGAAAUAAUUUGACUUUGGUAUUCAUGAGUAGUUCAGUUUUUAUAACUAUUAUCUAUAAUAGUUUUAAAGACAGUUUGAGGAAAAUAGAAACACAACUUUUCAAUGUAUAAUAUGAACUAGUAUUCUUCCAGGCAUUUAAGUGGCAUUCAUAUGAAAAUUAAUAGUAUAUGACAUAUUAAGACAUGUUUAGUCUUAAUACCAGAGGACCUAAUCCCAUAGACAAACCG
rnacentral:lncRNA from 1 species